CCUACGGGAGGCAGCAGUGGGGAAUCUUGCGCAAUGGGCGAAAGCCUGACGCAGCAACGCCGCGUGGGGGAUGAAGGCUCUCGGGUUGUAAACCCCUUUCAGCAGGGACGAAUCAAGACGGUACCUGCAGAAGAAGCCCCGGCUAACUACGUGCCAGCAGCCGCGGUAACACGUAGGGGGCAAGCGUUGUCCGGAUUUAUUGGGCGUAAAGAGCUCGUAGGUGGCUGAGUAAGCCGGAUGUUAAAUCCCCAGGCUCAACCUGGGACACCACCCGAUACUGCUCUGGCUAGAGUCCGGUAGGGGAGCGUGGAAAUUCCUGGUGUAGCGGUGAAAAUGCGCAGAUAUCAGGAGGAACACCAGCGGCGAAAGGCGGCGCUCUGGGCCGGUACUGACACUGAGGAGCGAAAAGCGUGGGUAGCAAACAGGAUUAGAUACCCUGGUAGUCCACGCCGUAAAACGUUGGACACUAGGUGUGGGGUCGUAUUCAACGGACUCCGUGCCGUAGCUAACGCAUUAAGUAGCCCGCCUCGGGAGUACGGCCGCAAGCGUAAAACUCAAAGGAAUUAGACGG
rnacentral:rRNA from 1 species